rnacentral:rRNA from 1 species
CAGCCGCCGCGGUAAUACGGAGGAUGCAAGCGUUAUCCGGAUUUAUUGGGUUUAAAGGGUGCGUAGGCGGGAUUAUAAGUCAGCGGUGAAAGUUUGAGGCUCAACCUUAAAAUUGCCGUUGAAACUGUUUUUCUUGAGUAUAUUUGAAGUAGGCGGAAUUCGUGGUGUAGCGGUGAAAUGCAUAGAUAUCACGAAGAACUCCAAUUGCGAAGGCAGCUUACUAAACUAUAACUGACGCUGAAGCACGAAAGCGUGGGUAUCAAACAGGAUUAGAUACCCUGGUAGUCCACGCCGUAAACGAUGAUUACUAGCUGUUUGUGAUAUUACAAUAAGCGGCUAAGCGAAAGCGAUAAGUAAUCCACCUGGGGAGUACGCCGGCAACGGUGAAACUUAAAGGAAUUGGCGGG